rnacentral:rRNA from 1 species
AAUAUUCCAUAAUUGAGGGAACUCUGAUGCAGCGACGCCGCGUGAAUGACGAAGGCCUUCGGGUCGUAAAGUUCUGUCCUUUGGGAAGAAAAAUGACGUUACCCAAGGAGGAAGCCCCGGCUAUCUACGUGCAAGCAGCCGCGGUAAUACGUACGGGGCUAGCGUUGUCCGGAAUUAUUGGGGGGAAAGGGUUCGCAGGCGGCCUAAAAAGUCAGAUGUAAAAGGUCACGGCUCAACCGUGGUAAGCAUAGGAAACUUUUAGGCUUGAGUUAAGGAGAGGAAAGUGGAAUUCCUAGUGUAGCGGUGAAAUACGUAGAUAUUAGGAGGAAUACCAGUGGCGAAGGCGACUUUCUGGACUUAUACUGACGCUGAGGAACGAAAGCGUGGGGAGCAAAAA